rnacentral:rRNA from 1 species
UACGAAGGGGGGCUAGCGUUGCUCGGAAUCACUGGGCGUAAAGCGCACGUAGGCGGCUUUUUAAGUCAGAGGUGAAAUCCUGGAGCUCAACUCCAGAACUGCCUUUAAUACUGGCAAUCUCGAGUCCGGAAGAGGUAAGUGGAACUCCUAGUGUAGAGGUGGAAUUCGUAGAUAUUAGGAAGAACACCAGUGGCGAAGGCGGCUUACUGGUCCGGUACUGACGCUGAGGUGCGAAAGCGUGGGGAGCAAACAGG